CACGUAGGGGGCGAGCGUUGUCCGGAUUUAUUGGGCGUAAAGAGCUCGUAGGCGGCUCAGUAAGUCGGGUGUGAAAACUCCAGGCUCAACCUGGAGACGCCACCCGAUACUGCUGUGGCUAGAGUCCGGUAGGGGAGCAUGGAAUUCCUGGUGUAGCGGUGAAAUGCGCAGAUAUCAGGAGGAACACCGGUGGCGAAGGCGGGUCUCUGGGCCGAUACUGACGCUGAGGAGCGAAAGCGUAGGGAGCGAACAGG
rnacentral:rRNA from 1 species